rnacentral:rRNA from 1 species
GACGAACGCUGGCGGCGUGCUUAACACAUGCAAGUCGAACGGUGAAAGCGGAGCUUGCUCCGCUGGAUCAGUGGCGAACGGGUGAGUAACACGUGGGCAACCUGCCCCUCACUUCGGGAUAACUCCGGGAAACCGGGGCUAAUACCGGAUAUGACCUCCUUGGGCAUCCUUGGAGGUGGAAAGUUUUUCGGUGAGGGAUGGGCCCGCGGCCUAUCAGCUUGUUGGUGAGGUAGUGGCUCACCAAGGCGACGACGGGUAGCCGGCCUGAGAGGGCGAACGGCCAAAUUGGGACUGAGACACGGCCCAGACUCCUACGGGAGGCAGCAGUGGGGAAUAUUGCGGAAUGGGCGAAAGCCUGACGCAGCAACGCCGCGUGCGGGAUGACGGCCUUCGGGUUGUAAACCGCUUUCAGCAGGGAAGAAGCCGCAAGGUGACGGUACCUGCAGAAGAAGCACCGGCUAACUACGUGCCAGCCGCCGCAGUAA